UGCGGAGGAUCCAAGCGUUAUCCGGAUUUAUUGGGUUUAGAGGGUGCGUAGGCGGAUUGAUAAGUUAGAGGUGAAAUGUCCGAGCUCAACUCGGGAACUGCCUCUAAUGCUGUUGAUCUAGAGAGUAGAUGCGGUAGGCGGAAUGUAUGGUGUAGCGGUGAAAUGCUUAGAGAUCAUACAGAACACCGAUUGCGAAGGCAGCUUACCAAUCUAUAUCUGACGUUGAGGCACGAAGGCGUGGGGAGCAAACAGG
rnacentral:rRNA from 1 species